CUCAGUUCUUUCUUUCAGUCGCUUCUCUUUCGCUUUCACUUUCACUUCGUCUGCCUUUGUCACCUGAAGCCAUUAGCAGCAGCGGCCGGAGGAACCGCCUCACUGGUCUUCUGUUCGCCCUGCACCCGAGAAACCCCCAGAACAAGAUUCCACACAGGAUGAAGACAAGAAACAUGCCGGAGAAGGUCACAAAGAUUCGGAUACAGUCGGAACUGCACAGGGGUCUUGGGGCUGUGAUAGGCAAGGGGGCCCAGAGGCUUUGCAGGAGGGUCUAACCUUGGACUUCCUCAGUCCAGUUGGUCCUAUCCCCCCCAUCAUCAUCUUUCCUCUGCUGGAUUAGGAGUCCCCAUCUCCUAAUCUCUAACUAACUAGAUGUGCUUUCCCCUCCUUUGCCUCCUGCUCUGUCUGUCUGUCUGUCUGUCUGUCAGUCCACCUCUGUCUCUCUUUCUCCUUCGUGUGUAGUGAGUGCUUGUGUGUGCAUCCAGAGUCCAGCGCGCUCCCUUGAGACAGGGUUCCUCUCUGAACUUGAAACGACUGUUUUAGCUAAGGUGGCUCUGUCUCUGCCUCCGAAUGCUAGGGUUACAGAUACAUGACUCCAGUCCUUGUCUCAUGCUUUCACAGCCAGCAUCCUUGUCCGCUGAACAUUCUCCUCAGCUCUAUACCCCUAUCCCUCACCCCAUGCUUAGGGGUUUCCCAGUGCCUGCCCCCUUGGCCUCUUGCCUCUGCACUUUUCCCUGAGGGAUGGGGAUUAUGGAGACAACUUACAUGGCCAGCGGUUAUAGAGAGUUGAGGCAGGAAACUGCCUGGUGUGUCCAGGCCAGACCGUCCUGGCCUCUGCCAUCUCUGGAAGAAACAGAGUGAAUCACAGCAGGAACCCCUCACCCCACCCCCAGGUCGCACCUGGCUGAAAACCUGUGAUUCUGCAGGAGUGAGACAGAAGGAAGAUGAGUUAGCUCAGAACCUAACUCGGGUACCCGAGACCAUGCCAUGAUGUCACCCACAGUUAGGAUUGGUCUUCCUGCCCCAGGUACCCAGUCUGGAAACCCAUUAAGGAGCAUACUUAAAGGUCCUAAAACCUUAUUGGGUACUCAACUUAGAAGUAUCUUCUUCUGGGACUGGAGAAACGGCUUAGCACAAACCUCAGUCCCUGGAGCCCAUGUGAAGACGUCUGAUUUCUGCGCACAUCUGAAACCCCAGCACUCCCGUGCGUGAGACGGCAGGAGAGACAAGAAUUGCCUGGAUGCUCACAGCCAGCUGCCCGGAGCACACAGAGUAGCAGAAACAAUGAGAGAUCCGACUGUGCAAGGCAAAAAGAGAGAACUGACUCUCAAAAGUUGUUCUUUGGGGGCUGGAGGGAGGGACGACUCAGCAGUUAGUGUUUGCCACUCUUGCAGAGGGCCUUGGUUCAGUUCUCAGCAACCACAAGGGGUGGCUCACAACCACCUAUGACUCCAAUUCCAAGGAAUCUGAUGCCCUCUUCCGGUCUCUGCGGGGCAUGCAUGUGGGGCACAUACAAACAAGUAGGCACACACUGAUACACGCAAAUAAAAGUAAAACUUAAAGCUAGGCUGGGCGGUGGUGGCGCACGCCUUUAGUCCCAGCACUCGGGAGGCAGAGGCAGGCGGAUCUAUGUGAGUUCGAGACCAGCCUG